rnacentral:tRNA from 1 species
AAAUGUGAAGUGAAUAAAUCACAUUCAGUUUCGACCUGAAAUAUGAUAUUAAUUAUCCUCAUUUA